AUGGCGGGCGGCUGCUGGUACACCAGCAUUGGCAGUAGUGUUGGUGCCGACCAGUGGAUGUGCCCGCGCCAAGCCAUGCUCAGCCUGACUCGUUUUUCCUCGUUCCAACUAGGCCUUGCUCAGAAACACAUCAAACCAAACAUACCGGUUCUUGCAAGCAUACCGGGCAACACGGCUGGUGCGGCAACCCUCUUGCCGCAAGACGAAAAAAAAACCCAAGCGAAUUCCCGACAAGCCCCUAACUCCCUGUCGUCUCCCCCGCUCCUCUCCCACACCGGAGCUCCCCUGCUCGGCUCCCCCGCGCGUAGCCGAAGCUCCUCCGCCCGACGCCUCCCCCGCAGGUUCCCUCUCCUUGUCCCCUCCCCCUUCCUCAUGCAGCUCGCCCGCGGCGGCGGCAGGAGCGAGCAGCAGCAGUGGCCGCGCGAGUAUGCGGCGAAGGAGGUCACCUUUGGCGUCGGCGCGCACGCCGCCAUGCUGCGCCGGAAGCCCUAUACUGCCCCCGUGCUUGGCAAACUUGUCAUGAGGCAUCCUUUUGUUGCCUUUCCUACUGUUGACAAGACCAGGGUGACCAUCAGGGAGCAGAAGGAGGUCACCGUCCAGCUAAUUAACUACACCAAGAGCGGGAAGAAGUUCUGGAACUUGUUUUACCUGCAGCCUAUGUGGGUUCAGAAGAAUCUUCCUGUUCUCCCAUUGUUACCAAGCAUGAUCUUGCUUGCAUUGCCGCCUUUGCUACAUGAAGCAAUAGGGUGCCCCCACCAGUGGAAGAAGAUCCAGUGUCGAAACAACCCUGCUAUCCCAGCCUCUGUUCCAUAUCGACGCCCUCCGCUGCAAUAUGUCCCAAAAUUCAGAACUAGUCUUCUGCAAGCGCUCACAAGGAAGCAGCAGAGUCAGAGGAAGACGGCAACAGCAGAAGAGGACGGAGUGGCGGAAUACAGCGCGCCGUCAGCCGUGGAGCCGCCGCCCGUCGAGGUGCGCGCAGGUAAGCAGGGGCGGCGCAAAUUGGCAGCCGCGGCUCAGGUGGGCCUUCGUCGCCGGCUGAACACCACGGUGGCUGGGGCGUGCGGUGCAGCGGCGAGGGAGGUGGAAGAAGCAGACGGUUGCUUCGAGUUGGAUUAG
rnacentral:rRNA from 1 species